UUAAACUAAGGGUGUCCCCAUCUAAAGGUGGGGACGCAAAGCCGAGGGUCUAAGGCGCACAUUGUGCUAUGAUAGUCUGACUGCAAAA
rnacentral:ncRNA from 1 species